rnacentral:misc_RNA from 1 species
AAAGUCGUAACAAGGUUUCCGUAGGUGAACCUGCGGAAGGAUCAUUACCGAAGUACAGGCCCCUUCGGGGGCUAAACUUCCACCCUUUGUUUACUAUACCAUUGUUGCUUUGGCGGGACGCCUAGCUACCGGCCUCGGCUGGUAAGUGCCCGCCAGAGAACCCCAAACCCAACCAUUAUUAGUGUCGUCUGAAUAAAAAGUUUAAUAUUUAAAACUUUCAACAACGGAUCUCUUGGCUCUG